CUGGGAAACACUGCUUUUGUACGGAAAGCCACUGUGGUUCUCCUCUUUGCAGCCAGCACAGGGUGCCUGGGAUAAGCAGGCAGACAGGCAUCUGAAGAAAGCAGGAGCAGGUGUGAAAGCAAAUCAUCCAGCAUCUCUCGUUCUUGCCAUUAUUUUGAGUUUCUGCAGCCUGAGCUCACUUCCCUUUCUUCCUUCUGCCCUGGAAUGGUGAGAGCAGCUCCGAGGCAGAGCAAGAGGAUGCCAACCAGCUGUCAGAGGAUGUGUUUGAGCUGUGUACUGAGCUCCUCUGUGGGAGCUGGGGCAGGCAGGAGCAGGAGAGCAACAUCCUCAUGCCUGGGGUGGGAUGGAGGGCUGAGAAGCUUCAGAGAGAUUUCCUGCUGCCAGGACACAGGAAAGGGAGUUAAACAAUUGAAUAGAACAAAAAAUAUAUAUUUAAUAUAUAUUUUUUUCUCAGGCUUCAGCAGAAUGCCCGGGUAGGGUAAAUCAUUAAAGGCAGACGUGUUUCUUGCUUGUGUGCCCUGCUCUGCCUGUGUUAAGAGGCCUUUUUUUUUUCUUCUUCUUUUGUUUUUCUUUUCUAUUUGCCACACAG
ensembl:lncRNA